CAGAGAGAGCAGGAGAUGGACAUGCCAUGCUAACAAAGGGAAGGAGACAAAGCCUCAUUAGCGUGAUGCUUUGGAGCAGCAAAGAGAUGGCUGGAUGACUGGAGAGGCUGUGUCUGUAGCCAAACAGGGUGGAGUUGCUACCCCAGCAGUGAGGCUUAGGGGGCCAGAGGCAGCAUAUGCCACCUGGCUGGACUUCAGUAGAGGAGGGGACCUGACAGCAGCUGUGGCCCAGCAUCAAGGGACAGGUGAAGUGACUCUUCAGUCCUGUCUGUCGAGGCCCUGGAGGCUGAGGGCAGAAGUCUCCAGAGCUCACCGCUCCCGGACAAGGGGGAUGGCUGUUGAGUGGGCCUUGCCCUUGGAGACUCUAUUCUACAAGCAGCUUUGGACUCCAUCUUGAAUGUGGCUUCCGGGUGGACCCUGCAGCUGCACCAUCUGCCAGGUACCAUCCACCCAGCACAGACCGACAAAUGACUUAUUCCACGUUACAAGUUUGUUAGGGUGAAUUGAGGCUAUAGGGGGCAUGUGAGUGUAGGUUGUAGGCUGUAGGGGGCACAUGGGUGUAUUGAGAUCCUAUCAGGGAAUCAUCAAACACACCAGGUCAGGGAAAAUACGACUCCUCUGGACACCAUAGUGAUGUUACCUGACAGUGCAAUGACAUGGCUCCACACCAACCUGUCAUUUACCCGGUGUGUACCUCAAGGACCAGCAAGCAGAGGACUGCCUGAUUCUGAUGCAGCCUAUUGCCUGGCUGCCUGUCCACCAUCUGGACCUGAACUUGCCAUUUCUUUCUCUGGACCUCGAUCUGCUUUUUUCAUCAUAGCUGGACAGUUUCACUCUCAACCCUUGACUUCAGCGGUGGCGGUGACAACCCCCUCUUUGCACUGGUGUGGUGUGAUGUCUUAUCUGUCUGCCCAUCCAUCCAUCCAUCCAUCCAUCCAUCCAUCCUAUGUAUAUAAGUGCUCUAUUGGCAUAUACAUGGACAUACCCAGAAGAGGGCAUCAGAUCCCAUUAUAGGUGGUUGCGAACCACCGUGUGUUUGCUGGGAAUUGAACUCAGGUCCUCUAAGAGAGCAGACAGUGCUCUUAACUGCUGAGCCCGCUCUCCAGCCCAAGGUAUCUUAUCAAUACAGACUCUCAGGCCACUUCUGAAGUGUUUGGAACUCUGCUGUAGCCUCUUUAACUGUAUUCUUUCUGUAAAGAUGCAUACAUAGACACAGACAUCUCUCCUAUGUGCCUUCUGCUGUGUAAUAUGAGAGUUUACAUUAGUAAUUAAGAUCAGAAAAAGGAAUCUGCAUUUGCCUCCCCAGG
rnacentral:lncRNA from 1 species